AUGCACGCUGGCGGCGUGCCUAAUACAUGCCAGUCGAGCGAACAGAUGAGGAGCUUGCUCCUCUGACGUUAGCGGCGGACGGGUGAGUAACACGUGGAUAACCUACCUAUAAGACUGGGAUAACUUCGGGAAACCGGAGCUAAUACCGGAUAAUAUAUUGAACCGCAUGGUUCAAUAGUGAAAGACGGUUUUGCUGUCACUUAUAGAUGGAUCCGCGCCGCAUUAGCUAGUCGGUAAGGUAACGGCUUACCAAGGCAACGAUGCGUAGCCGACCUGAGAGGGUGAUCGGCCACACUGGAACUGAGACACGGUCCAGACUCCUACGGGAGGCAGCAGUAGGGAAUCUUCCGCAAUGGGCGAAAGCCUGACGGAGCAACGCCGCGUGAGUGAUGAAGGUCUUCGGAUCGUAAAACUCUGUUAUUAGGGAAGAACAAAUGUGUAAGUAACUAUGCACGUCUUGACGGUACCUAAUCAGAAAGCCACGGCUAACUACGUG
rnacentral:rRNA from 1 species